ensembl:lncRNA
UUGAUUGCCCGGGAAAUGUGUAUGUCCUGUUUAUCAAAGAUAGUAAUUAUGUUAAUUUGCAGAUUUGUGCGUUUGUGUUUUUGUGCCUGUGUGCGUGCUAGCGUGUGUGGAUGCGUGUGUAUAUGACAUGGAGAGAAAGGAGGGUGGAGGUUGAUCUAGCUGGAAUCGCUGGGGCAGGUUGUGUCUCCAGGAUCAAACCUGUUUGCUCUCCUGUCAUACGAAACUCUGCUGAAGUAAUUCCAAGUGGCACUUGAAUCGGUCUUGUUGGAAAGCUUGUUGGACUGAAAAUAACCCGCGGUAUUUCAAGGCUGGCCGUGGUCCUGGUGUAAAAAAAAUCUCUCUCUCUCUUCCUCACUCGCUCUCUCUCUCUCUCUGCCAAUAUUGUGAAGAGGAGCUGGACUAGUAUGUAAAUACUUCAGGGCCCGAACCGCCAGGACUCUUCACCUUCAAGUAACAAUGAAACCCCGUGACCCUGAAUAUCUGCCCGACCCUGCUUUUGUCCCGUCCGAAGGUGGAUAUGCUUCCCAAAUCCUGAUCAGGCGGACGGGAGAGAGGGAGGGGAGUGAGGGAGCAGAGAGGAGGAGAGGAGAGGAGAGGAGAGGAGAGAGAGCGGAGGAGUGCGGUGCGUUAUCAGUGAGUGGUGCUGACGGGCCUGUCAUGCCUGUCCGAGGCCAGACCAGCACUGAGACAGGAGGUGUCACGUCUCUGAGCCACAGCCCUUUGUGCCACCAGCUGCAGCUCUGACACACACACACACACACACACACCGCAGCCCUGACACACACACACACACACACACACACACACACACAUACACUCAGACAGACACACGCGCACACUCAUGCAUACACACACACACACACACACACACAUACACACACACACGCACACACUUAUCCAUACAAACACACCCACACAGACACAUACACAUGCAAAGAUACACUCACAUACAUAGACACAUACACACACACAUACAUAUAUAGACAUAGACACACACACACAUACACACAAUAUGAACAUGAUGGGUGCUGAGUGGACGACUGGUGGGCCACAUGCGUGUGUGUGUGUGAGUGUGCAUCAAACUGUCCAAAGAUUUCUGUGUGGGUUGGAGGGGAGAUACAUGUGUUUUUGCGUGUCUGUCUUCGUGUGUGUCUCUCCGUGUAUGUGUGCGGCCAUCAAACUCUUCCAACGUUUCCGUGCAUAUCUGUGUGUGUGUGUGUGUGUGUGGGGGGGGGGGGGGGCAUAACACUGUCCAAACAGUUCUGUGUGACUGUAUGGAGCUCCUUGUGUGAGCCUGACUGACUGUUCAUGCGUCUGUUCAUAAGCUGGUUUGCAUGGUUGAAUAUGUAUGUGUGAAUUGAGUAUGUUUGUCUGAGUAUGGAUGUUUGAAUGAAUAUGUAUGUGUGAAUUGAGUGUGUUUGUCUGAGUAUGCAUGUUUGAAUGCAUAUGUGUGCUUGAAUUGAGUAUGUUUUUUAAAAGUAUGCAUGUUUGAAUGAAUAUGUAUGUUUGAAUUGAGUAUGUUUGUCUGAGUAUGCAUGUUUAAAUGAAUAUGUGUGCUUGAAUUGAGUAUGUUUUUAAAAGAGUGCAUGUUUGAAUGAAUAUGUACUUUCAAUGUUUUAAUUGAGUAUGUUUGUAAAAGAAUGCAUGUUUGAAUAAAUAUCUAUGUUUGAAUGAAUAUGUAUGUUGG